rnacentral:rRNA from 1 species
GGAUUCAUACGUUGGUCAGGCUUAAUUGUCUGUACUGGUGAGAUGAAUCUCUACCUUCUGAGGAACUUUCAUGCCAUUUAUUUGGUGUGAUGGGAAAUCAGGACUGUUACUUUGAAAAAAUUAGAGUGUUUAAAGCAGGCUAACGUCUGAAUACAUUAGCAUGGAAUAAUGAAAUAGGACGGACUGAUUCUAUUUCGUUGGUUUCUAGGAUCACCGUA